rnacentral:rRNA from 1 species
AGGAUGAACGCUGGCGGCGUGCCUAACACAUGCAAGUCGAACGUCCUGUCUCGCAAGAGGCAGGGAGUGGCGGACGGGUGAGUACCACGUGGGUUAUCUACCGUGAGGUGAGGAAUACCGGCGAGAAAUCGCCGACAAGACCGCAUAGCCUCGGUGCAAGCCGAGGAAAGCUUUCUCGAGAGAGGGAGCGCCACACGAGGAGCCUGCGCCCGAUUAGCUAGCUGGUGGAGUAACGGUUCACCAGGGCGACGAUCGGUAGCUGGUCUGAGAGGACGAUCAGCCACACUGGGAUUGAGAACGGCCCAGACUCCUACGGGGGGCAGCAGUGAGGAAUUUUCGUCAAUGGGGGCAACCCUGAACGAGCAACGCCGCGUGCAGGAGAAGGUUUUCGGAUCGUAAACUGCUUUUCUCGGGGACGAGCAAGGACGGUACCCGAGGAACGACGCCCGGCUAACUACGUGCCAGCAGCCGC